CAAGAAACAUGGCUGUUCGAAACAGCUCAAAUUUGUAUUAAAACUUGUCGUUUUUGGAUAUUAAGAUGGCCUAAUGGCGACAUACAAGAACCGUAAAAAGGCCAACUUUUAAACGAUUUUGGAACCGGUUUGUCGUGGAUUAACUAGCAUUGUUUUUGGAUAAAUUAACUGUUUGAACAUCGACAAUUACAUCGCGAAGUCCACAGCUUGAAUCGCCCGAAAGGAUACUACAUUAUUCGACGGAUAUCUAUCUGGUGUAUAAGCGAUUUGCUAUAAAAUUACACUAUCAACUCGAUGGAAUUGCCAGUGGAAGUACGUGUAUCUCGGGAACCACCUAGACGUAAACAAAUGCUAACAAACUUUAUGUAGAAAUGUUGCUUGUUCAUGUCGUUGUUAUUACGAAGUGACUAUAUGACCGGCAGCCGGUCACGGUUUAUCAAAUACUAAAUGGCCGGCAGUCUAGUGACUAUAGUUGAAUAUAAAAACUUUUGUUUGCGUUAACUUUUACCGAGCUUGCCGUUAGCUCAUACGGCAAGGGCGCUGCGUGCGGAAAGUUAAGCGCAGUCGGGGUCGCGAUAUGUUUUGUCUGACUUAGCAUUUUUUCUUAAAAUUUUUUAAACUUUUUUUCCCGACUUUUCUAACUCUCAAAGGGUUAGGGGUUAGGGUUAGAAAAGGGUUUGGGGUUGGGGAUAGGUUUAUCUUAUAAAAAUUAAACUUUAACAAUAGUCACUAUACUGCCGGCCAUUUAGUAUUUUAUAAACCGUGACCGGCUGCCGGUCAUAUAGUCACUUCGUUGUUAUUAUCGAAGUCCACAGUAAUGAAAUAUUUAAACAAAAUAGGUUAAAAUUUUAUAUUUUUGUCAACUCCUAUACUGUUUAUAGUAAUUUUCGGUCGCCAUAUUAAGGCAAAGUGCGCAUGUCCAUCGCCAUCUUGUCCCAAAUUUCUGGUGAUGAUAAACUUGCUCAAUACGGGGUUGAUGAAAACGCAUUAACAUGGUUCCACUCUUAUCUAACCGAUCGUACACAAAGAUGUUGUGUAAAUGGACAUCUAUCUUGUAAUCGACCAAUCACUUACGGUGUCCCCAAGGUUCAAUAAUAGGUCCCCUUUUAUUCUUGGUCUACAUCAAUGACUUGCCAAACUGUCUGAACAAUGGCUUAUCGAGUAUGUACGCGGAUGACACAAUUAUUAGCUUUCAAAGCUCUAAUCUUCCUGAUCUUGAAGAAAUUAUGAACACCGAGCUGAGUCAGUUUAAACACCUGGCUCAAUGCGAACAGAUUAAGCUUAAAUAUUACUAAAACUGAAUUCAUGGUCAUUGACUCUCGACAGAGGCUGAUGUACCAUGAUGUUAACAAUCUUAAUAUAUGCGUAGAUAACACUCAAAUUAAAAGAGUACAGUACACGAAAUCUUUAUAGGUGUAAUAAUUGAUGAAAAUUUAACUUGGAAGAACCAUAUUGAUAUACUAUCUGUAAAAAAGUAUCCUCAGGAAUUGGUGCCCUCAAACGAGUGAGGCGAUUUGUAAACAGGGAAAUUGCAGUGAAAGUGUAGUAAGGCUUAAUUGAGCCUUACCUUAAUUACUGCUGCCCGGUUUGGGAUGGUAUCGGCAGCGAGCUGAGCAGUAAGUUAAAAAAGUUACAAAACCGUGCUGCUCGUAUGAUCACGGAAAGCACAUAAUUAUGAAAACUCCUCGAAUUUUUUAGUGGAGGAGUUAAACUGGCACCAGUCAUCUCUUCAAUCGCAAAAAGCAUAAAGCAAUUCUUCUGUAUAAAACUAUAAACAAGAGGGUACCGGAAUAUCUACAAGCCAUAUUUAUUUCGCGAUCUUACUGAUCUUGUCCUUACAGAUUGAGAAACAAUGAAAAUACAUUAUUUGUCCCUAAGCCACAUACAGAUUAUCUAAAGCGCCCACCCAGCUACGAUGGAGCUUUUUUAUGGAAUAGUUUAACAACUGAACUUCGUUCGGCACAAUCUCUUAGUGCUUUUAAACGAGUUCUAGAAUGUUGGUUAGCUUAGAUUCACACACGGCAAUCAUGUAAAUCAGUACUGUUCUGUCUUUUGUAAAUAACAUUUGUAUUUUUUUCCUUUUCUUCCUUUUUCUAUACUUUAUAUACAUCUAUAUUAUGUAAAUUUUUACUGAUGAUUCUACCGUGUCAAAAUAAAGUUUAUAAUAAUAAUAAUAAUAAUAAUAAUAAUAACAAUAAUAAUAAUAAUAAUAAUAAUAAUAAUAAUAUGUUGAAUAUUCGGUGCCGAUGGCACGCGUGGCUGAAAUCGCUCAAAACGCCACCGCACACUGGGGGG